CAUGGAUCAGUUUGGUAGAGCAUGGCGUUAACACUGACAGGGUUAGGGGUUCGAGUCCCUCUGGGGCCA